GUCCACGCCGUAAACGAUGGAUACUAGCUGUUCGAGAGCAAUCUUGAGUGGCUAAGCGAAAGUGAUAAGUAUCCCACCUGGGGAGUACGUUCGCAAGAAUGAAACUCAAAGGAAUUGACGGGGGCCCGCACAAGCGGUGGAGCAUGUGGUUUAAUUCGAUGAUACGCGAGGAACCUUACCAAGGCUUAAAUGUAGAUUGACCGGUUUGGAAACAGACCUUUCGCAAGACAAUUUACAAGGUGCUGCAUGGUUGUCGU
rnacentral:rRNA from 1 species